ensembl:lncRNA
GUGACCCGAGGAAAGAGCGUUUGCAGAGACACCUGCCUCACAGCCUCCUGACCUCGGACAGUGUUUAUCCCCAGGCUGAGGCCUCCCUUAUCUCUCAGGGGUGCACGGUGGCCUCUCAAGAGUUAACUUAUUAACUCGACCUGUGACUUCAUCCGGGACGCCAAGGACUCAUGAGGCUCCGGUGGGCGUGAGGCUUCGAGUUCGGAACAUCCAGGAAGGCCAAACAGAUGGUAGAAGAAGUUGUCCUGUUCUUUCUCGUCUGAUGCCGUGAGUGAUCGAGUUGUAACUGAAAGGCACUCAACAGUUCCUCUCUCCUUUCUCCACUGGAUGCUAAGUGGUCUCGCCAAUCACAGAGCAAGCGUGUGGUUUGCUGUCCCCUGCAGCAUUCUCUCGCUCACUCAGCUGGAGGUCUGAGAGCAGAGGAGUCACUCCCUGCAGUUGUGAUAGCUAACCAUAGACCCAAGGCCACCCAGUCCCAGAACAUCCGCCUCCACCCACUUGUGAUUUUCCCUACGUCAAAAUGGACCCAUUAGGACUUCCCCGGUGGUACAGAGGAUAGGAGUCUGCCUGCUAAUGCAGGGGACCCAGGUUCAAUCCCUGGUCUGGGAAGAUUCCACAUGCCUUGGAGCAACUACUGAGCCCAAGUGCUGUAACUCCUGAAGUUCGUGCGCCUAGAGCCCGUGCUCCACAGCAAGAGGAGCCACUGCAGCGAGAAGCCCACGCACCUCCAAAGCCAGAGGGAUCCCGCACGCAGCAGAGAGGACCCAGUGAAGCCAAAAAUAAAAGAACUUUUUUAAAAACAUGGACCCCUUAGGGUUGUCCUGUCCAAUGCAUAGCCACUAGCCACACGUGGCUAUUCACAUGGAAUCAAAUGAUAUGAAAUUUGAAAUCCAGCUCGUCAGUCACUCUAGAUGCACGUUGUGUGCCCAGGGCGGCUGCUGUAAUGGCCAGUGCGGAUACAGGACCCUUGUGUCGUCACAGAAAGUUCUCCUGAACCAUACUGCUUCAGAGAUUAGCCAGCCAGGGGCUUCAUCAGUGCUGAAUUUUAAGAAACUGAGACUCAUAAAGGUUGAAUGACUUUCCCAAGGAGAUCCAAGAAUUUAUAAAAAAUAUAUAUUUUGGCUGUUUUAGAAUCCUGAGGAUGUCCUUUAUUUCAGUCUUGAUUUUUGAACGAAUUUUCUGUAUCAUAUGCAUAUUUGACUUUUAAUUGAGACUCAAACUGUAGAAGUACUUUGAAAAGU